CCUACGGUGUGCAGCAGUGAGGAAUAUUGGUCAAUGGACGAGAGUCUGAACCAGCCAAGUAGCGUGAAGGAUGACUGCCCUAUGGGUUGUAAACUUCUUUUAUAUGGGAAUAAAAUGUUCCACGUGUGGGAUUUUGUAUGUACCAUAUGAAUAAGGAUCGGCUAACUCCGUGCCAGCAGCCGCGGUAAUACGGAGGAUCCGAGCGUUAUCCGGAUUUAUUGGGUUUAAAGGGAGCGUAGGUGGAUGGUUAAGUCAGUUGUGAAAGUUUGCGGCUCAACCGGAAAAUUGCAGUUGAAACUGGAAGUCGUGAGUACAGUAGAGGUGGGCGGAAUUCGUGGUGUAGCGGUGAAAGGCUUAGAUAGCACGAAGAACUCCGAUUGCGAAGGCAGCUCACUGGACUGCAACUGACACUGAGGCUCGAAAGUGUGGGUAUCAAACAGGAUUAGAUACCCUAGUAGUC
rnacentral:rRNA from 1 species